UACGUAGGUGGCAAGCGUUGUCCGGAUUUAUUGGGUUUAAAGGGUGCGUAGGCGGUUCCAUAAGUCAGUGGUGAAAUACGGCAGCUCAACUGUCGAGGUGCCAUUGAUACUGCGGAACUUGAGUACUGAUGAGGUAGGCGGAAUUGACGGUGUAGCGGUGAAAUGCUUAGAUAUCGUCAAGAACACCGAUAGCGAAGGCAGCUUACCAAGCAGUAACCGACGCUGAGGCACGAAAGUGCGGGGAUCAAACAGG
rnacentral:rRNA from 1 species